GGUUAAGCGACUAAGCGUACACGGUGGAUGCCCUGGCAGUCAGAGGCGAUGAAGGGCGUGCUAAUCUGCGAUAAGCGCCGGUAAGGUGAUAUGAACCGUUAUAACCGGCGAUACCCGAAUGGGGAAACCCAGUGUGACUCGUCACACUAUCAUUAACUGAAUCCAUAGGUUAAUGAGGCGAACCGGGGGAACUGAAACAUCUAAGUACCCCGAGGAAAAGAAAUCAACCGAGAUUCCCCCAGUAGCGGCGAGCGAACGGGGAGGAGCCCAGAGCCUGAAUCAGCAUGUGUGUUAGUGGAAGCGUCUGGAAAGGCGCGCGAUACAGGGUGACAGCCCCGUACACAAAAGCGCAUGUGCUGUGAGCUCGAUGAGUAGGGCGGGACACGUGGUAUCCUGUCUGAAUAUGGGGGGACCAUCCUCCAAGGCUAAAUACUCCUGACUGACCGAUAGUGAACCAGUACCGUGAGGGAAAGGCGAAAAGAACCCCGGCGAGGGGAGUGAAAAAGAACCUGAAACCGUGUACGUACAAGCAGUGGGAGCCCCACCACUAAGCCAGUGGUGAACUCCACAUACGCAUCCUUUGCUGAGGAUACGGUUAACGGAGCGAAAGCGACGUUCAACCUCAAAAGAAGCAGAGGGGGCUUAGUGGUGGGGUGACUGCGUACCUUUUGUAUAAUGGGUCAGCGACUUAUAUUCUGUAGCAAGGUUAACCGAAUAGGGGAGCCGGAGGGAAACCGAGUCUUAAUUGGGCGUUAAGUUGCAGGGUAUAGACCCGAAACCCGGUGAUCUAGCCAUGGGCAGGUUGAAGGUUGGGUAACACUAACUGGAGGACCGAACCGACUAAUGUUGAAAAAUUAGCGGAUGACCUGUGGCUGGGGGUGAAAGGCCAAUCAAACCGGGAGAUAGCUGGUUCUCCCCGAAAGCUAUUUAGGUAGCGCCUCGUGAAUUCAUCUCCGGGGGUAGAGCACUGUUUCGGCUAGGGGGCCAUCCCGGCUUACCAACCCGAUGCAAACUGCGAAUACCGGAGAAUGUUAUCACGGGAGACACACGGCGGGUGCUAACGUCCGUCGUGAAGAGGGAAACAACCCAGACCGCCAGCUAAGGUCCCAAAGUCAUGGUUAAGUGGGAAACGAUGUGGGAAGGCCCAGACAGCCAGGAUGUUGGCUUAGAAGCAGCCAUCAUUUAAAGAAAGCGUAAUAGCUCACUGGUCGAGUCGGCCUGCGCGGAAGAUGUAACGGGGCUAAACCAUGCACCGAAGCUGCGGCAGCGACACUCAGGUGUUGUUGGGUAGGGGAGCGUUCUGUAAGCCUGUGAAGGUGUGUCGUGAGGCAUGCUGGAGGUAUCAGAAGUGCGAAUGCUGACAUAAGUAACGAUAAAGCGGGUGAAAAGCCCGCUCGCCGGAAGACCAAGGGUUCCUGUCCAACGUUAAUCGGGGCAGGGUGAGUCGACCCCUAAGGCGAGGCCGAAAGGCGUAGUCGAUGGGAAACGGGUUAAUAUUCCCGUACUUGGUGUUACUGCGAAGGGGGGACGGAGAAGGCUAUGUUGGCCGGGCGACGGUUGUCCCGGUUUAAGCGUGUAGGUGUGUGUUCCAGGUAAAUCCGGUUCACUUUAACACUGAGGCGUGACGACGAGGCACUACGGUGCUGAAGCAACAAAUGCCCUGCUUCCAGGAAAAGCCUCUAAGCAUCAGGUAACAUCAAAUCGUACCCCAAACCGACACAGGUGGUCAGGUAGAGAAUACCAAGGCGCUUGAGAGAACUCGGGUGAAGGAACUAGGCAAAAUGGUGCCGUAACUUCGGGAGAAGGCACGCUGACACGUAGGUGAAGUGAUUUACUCAUGGAGCUGAAGUCAGUCGAAGAUACCAGCUGGCUGCAACUGUUUAUUAAAAACACAGCACUGUGCAAACACGAAAGUGGACGUAUACGGUGUGACGCCUGCCCGGUGCCGGAAGGUUAAUUGAUGGGGUCAGCGCAAGCGAAGCUCCUGAUCGAAGCCCCGGUAAACGGCGGCCGUAACUAUAACGGUCCUAAGGUAGCGAAAUUCCUUGUCGGGUAAGUUCCGACCUGCACGAAUGGCGUAAUGAUGGCCAGGCUGUCUCCACCCGAGACUCAGUGAAAUUGAACUCGCUGUGAAGAUGCAGUGUACCCGCGGCAAGACGGAAAGACCCCGUGAACCUUUACUAUAGCUUGACACUGAACAUUGAGCCUUGAUGUGUAGGAUAGGUGGGAGGCUUUGAAGUGUGGACGCCAGUCUGCAUGGAGCCGACCUUGAAAUACCACCCUUUAAUGUUUGAUGUUCUAACGUGGACCCGUAAUCCGGGUUGCGGACAGUGUCUGGUGGGUAGUUUGACUGGGGCGGUCUCCUCCUAAAGAGUAACGGAGGAGCACGAAGGUUGGCUAAUCCUGGUCGGACAUCAGGAGGUUAGUGCAAUGGCAUAAGCCAGCUUGACUGCGAGCGUGACGGCGCGAGCAGGUGCGAAAGCAGGUCAUAGUGAUCCGGUGGUUCUGAAUGGAAGGGCCAUCGCUCAACGGAUAAAAGGUACUCCGGGGAUAACAGGCUGAUACCGCCCAAGAGUUCAUAUCGACGGCGGUGUUUGGCACCUCGAUGUCGGCUCAUCACAUCCUGGGGCUGAAGUAGGUCCCAAGGGUAUGGCUGUUCGCCAUUUAAAGUGGUACGCGAGCUGGGUUUAGAACGUCGUGAGACAGUUCGGUCCCUAUCUGCCGUGGGCGCUGGAGAACUGAGGGGGGCUGCUCCUAGUACGAGAGGACCGGAGUGGACGCAUCACUGGUGUUCGGGUUGUCAUGCCAAUGGCACUGCCCGGUAGCUAAAUGCGGAAGAGAUAAGUGCUGAAAGCAUCUAAGCACGAAACUUGCCCCGAGAUGAGUUCUCCCUGAGACUUUAGGUCUCCUGAAGGAACGUUGAAGACGACGACGUUGAUAGGCCGGGUGUGUAAGCGCAGCGAUGCGUUGAGCUAACCGGUACUAAUGAACCGUGAGGCUUAACCUU
rnacentral:rRNA from 1 species